UACGUAGGGUCCGAGCGUUGUCCGGAAUUACUGGGCGUAAAGGGCGCGUAGGCGGAUAUCUAAGUUGGGGGUGAAAUCCCGGGGCUCAACCUCGGAAUUGCCUUCAAAACUGGAUAUCUUGAGUUCGGGAGAGGUGAGUGGAACUCCGAGUGUAGAGGUGAAAUUCGUAGAUAUUCGGAAGAACACCAGUGGCGAAGGCGACUCACUGGCCCGAUACUGACGCUGAGGCGCGAAAGCGUGGGGAGCAAACAGG
rnacentral:rRNA from 1 species